UAUUAUUUUUCAAGCUCACACGGAGUAUGAAGAUGUUGGUUCUUCCAAAUGCAUAUGAAGAUUCAGUGCAAUCCCAGUCAAACUACCAGGCAGAUCCUUUUGUAGUUCGUAAGUGAUGACUGGGUUUUCACCCUCAUGCAUGAGAUGUGCCUCCCUCGAACCCUGUUAUGAUGUAGGUGCUGACCUGCUUGGUGAAUGCUGGGAUCUCUGGAAGAGGGAGGCAGACAUCACACACCAGCUGGCAAGUGGGAGCUGGCAUGCAACAUGCCCCAAUACCACUCCCCUCCUGCCAUCCCUAUCUCCUAAUGGUGCCUCCUUUUGGCCAAACCCACCUUUGGCUGGAGGGCAACAGAGCCCAUUGACGUGGUCCCCUUGCAUCUGCUACCUGGGGAGAAAAGCAGGAUGGACACUGAAUCUAGAGAAAUGAAGAAACCCAUCCAGAAGAAUACUGCUUCUUUAUGUUUUUGUAGGAACAGUGUCAUGGGAUGCUGGGGACAGCAGUUGGAGUGAUGCAUCUAUGGGCCAAGGGAAUGCCAAGGAUUGCCAGCCAUCACCAGGACAGAAGCAUGGGUACUGAUGCCCUCACAGAGCCCUUGAAGAGAGUCAACCCUGCUGACACCUUGAUUUCAGACUUCCAGCCUCCAGAACUGUGAGAGAAUAAAUUUCCGUUGUCUUAAGUCACCCAGUUUGUAGCACUUUAUUAUGGCAGCCCUGGGAAACUAACACACUACCCUUAUUUUCAUGCUGAGGAAUGUAAGAUAGUUUUAGGCACCACCUGCUUCUAUACAAGUUUUAUGAUCUCUCCUCCUAAUACUGCAGAAAUUAUGGGUUUUACCAUCUUAGUAUAUAGCAUAAUAUAUCCAGCACACGUUAUAUAUUUAGCACUUUAUUAGAGUACCCCGGUUUGCUCUUCUGAAAAACUGUGAGGCUGGAUUUGAUGCUUUCUAAGGCUUUUUUUUCCCUAUGUAUUCUCUGAUCAGAAUACCCUGCUCAACGAAGCCGCUGGUAAUGAAGCUCAUUAAAAAUGAAAUCACUUAGGUAGGGAGUUGGAGAGUGACUCAUUUAAAACAUUGCCUCCUGGAAACUGAAAUUCAUUGAACACAAAAGCUUUUGGAGGGACUCAGAUUGGUAGGGACUCUGCAGUCUGACAAAAGGGUCUGGUGACAGGGGGCAUCUGAUCCCAUCUAGGGAGGGUAGGGAGAGGGAGUCCGGAGAGGGAUGCAUAAACAAGCCUUCUUCAGACAUGCUACCUAUGCCUCUCCCAUGGCUCCUGCAUGCUUGGAUGUUACGCUUCUUUAAAGAGCAGGUGACAGGUUGCCCCUGGGACGCUCAGAGCCAGGCAAGGUGGGACUUGGCCCUGCUCCCCCUUCUUCUAUCUGAAAAGUUGCCCUUAGUCCCACGGGGCCCCUUCCUGUCACACCGACACAGCUUGCUGGUUUUUGUUUUCUUUCACUGUCCUUUUUCUUUUUUCAGAAGUUCCUCACAGGAAGUGUUUGGCAGGCAGCUCAGGCCCCUGCUGAGAUGGAGAAUCUAGCAAACCUGUCCCGCUGAUUGAUUAAACACUGAGGAGGCUCCAAGACCCAAGCGUGAAAUUCCUUGGCUCUGAUUGUGCUAAGGGUAGAGCUCACUAAUGAAUGGAGUCUGAUUACAGCCCAGCCUCUCCAGUGCCUCCUGUUGCCCCAAUUUGGGGGAUUCUUCUGCUUCGAGUACAUCAUGGAAAGCAGCACAGAGUUCUCAGCAGGAUCUGCGAUGUCUGAUCCAAGAAAGAUUUUUGUUGUUGUCGUCAUUGUUGUUUUUUAAUCCUGAUCAUUGCUCUCAAACCCUUCUCUACACAGCUUGGCGUGGGGGGUAGUUGAUUUCCAGUGAAACCGGGUGGAAGCAGUGCCACUGCCACCUGUGAGGAGGAAAUGGGCAACAGUCGGCUUCAUCCGUCCUGAACGCUCAGGCCUGAAUGUUCCAAACUGAUGCUAAACUGAGACUCUCUGAAGGCCCAUGGGGAAGCCUGGCAUUGUGUAGCCAUUUCUUCCAGCAAGGCUCUCCCCUCACAUUCACAGCCUGCCACUUAAAGCUUUGGGAGACAAUGUAGUUGACCUGUAGUUCUUCCUGUAUGUGGCUCCUGGUCAGUCACUGGGCAAGGAGGAGGCUGCAGGCAUUGUGCUAUCCCCUUAUCUCUCUCUCUGUCUGUCUCUUAUCUAGUUCAAAUCAGCAAAUGGAGCUUGGUCCUUCGUUUGUAAAGUAAGGGGGUGGAAAAUUAUCCCUAAGUUACCUCCUGGUUUAGAAAAGUCUUAAUGCUGUUUUAUAAUAACUCACCCACCUCUCCUCUUCCAUGAGCUCAGAGCGGCCCAGCCCUUGGAAUGUGUUUCUGCCACGACAAGGAAUACAGGAGGAGUUGAACAGGAAACCUGCCUCCUAUCAGAUUCACCUGAGGACGUGCAGGUGAGAUCGGCACUGGCUCCAAGGAAGAGGUUUUCCAUGCAGAUGUGGAAACUGCCAAAAGACCUUGGAUGUGAGCUGCCACCUGCUGCUGGAAAGAUGUGGAGAGAACUUGGAUUCAGGAAGAGAGCUGCUUCUUCCCUCCUCCCAUAUCCCAGUUUCUUGCCGUGCUUUCCAUUGGCAUACCCUAACUGAAAGCCACUGGCAAGAGACUUGCAGAAAUUAACUUUCCAGAGUCUCAGGCCCUCUAGAUUACAGAGAAGAGGACGGAAGAGAGGGAAUGGGGCCUGAGACAAAUACCUUCAUAGUGUUCUUCCUAAAAUGUAAAACCAAUAAUUGAAAACUAAACUCUACAUAAGACGGGAAUAAAGCUGAGCGAUGUAGCUAGCCUCACCCUUGCAUUGACAGUAGAGUGUUAUUAAAAUCAAAUACGUGUGGCAUAAACACUGUUGUUCUCGGUUACUGAGCUUGCAGUCAACAAC
rnacentral:lncRNA from 10 species